UCAUAAAUCAAUCCAUGUACG
ensembl:piRNA 21ur-2817 ncRNA